CUGACGGAGCAAUGCCGCGUGGAGGUGGAAGGCCUACGGGUCGUCAACUUCUUUUCUCGGAGAAGAAACAAUGACGGUAUCUGAGGAAUAAGCAUCGGCUAACUCUGUGCCAGCAGCCGCGGUAAGACAGAGGAUGCAAGCUUUAUCCGGAAUGAUUGGGCGUAAAGCGUCUGUAGGUGGCUUUUCAAGUCCGCCGUCAAAUCCCAGGGCUCAACCCUGGACAGGCGG
rnacentral:ncRNA from 1 species